UGCCCCAUGGCUGAGUUGGUUACAGCGUCCGACUGUUAUUCUGUGUUGGCAUGAAAAUCAAUCGGAAGGUCGUGAGUUCGAGCCUCACUGGGGCAG